rnacentral:rRNA from 1 species
AUUGAACGCUGGCGGAAUGCUUUACACAUGCAAGUCGAGCGGCAGCGCAGGGGCAACCCUGGCGGCGAGCGGCGAACGGGUGAGUAACAUAUCGGAACGUACCCCGUCGUGGGGGAUAACUAUCCGAAAGGAUAGCUAAUACCGCAUACGACCUGAGGGUGAAAGCGGGGGACCGUAAGGCCUCGCGCGAUGGGAGCGGCCGAUAUCGGAUUAGCUAGUUGGUGAGGUAAAGGCUCACCAAGGCGACGAUCCGUAGCUGGUCUGAGAGGACGACCAGCCACACUGGAACUGAGACACGGUCCAGACUCCUACGGGAGGCAGCAGUGGGGAAUUUUGGACAAUGGGGGGCAACCCUGAUCCAGCCAUUCCGCGUGAGUGAAGAAGGCCUUCGGUUGUAAAGCUCUUUCUAGCAGGAACGAAACGGU